UGGACCGAGACUACACUAAGGAA
rnacentral:snRNA from 1 species